GUGAGAAGAGAGCUCCGGACAUACUGUAUUUCAAAAUGGUUACUUUCUCCUUCCCCUGCUGGAAGCAUGUGGUAAUUUUUCUCAAAUCUUCACAGAACCUGUUUUUAUGGCAACUGGAAGUACAAAUUAUGAAAGUGUGGACCCCCACUAGGAAUGGGCCAGCUCUGAGAUUUUAAUUCUCACUCUGCCUUUAGCGAUUCAUCAAUUACAAUGUAAUGUCUUCCUACUGACGCUGGCUCCCAUUGCACGGUUCUGCACCAGUGCUUCUGCUUCAGGUAGAAAGGCAGAAGAGGCAACAUAGAAUAACAAUGGCCAACAACAAUAAAGAUAGAACUGUUAGAUAUAAACCCAAAAGAGAAAGUGAGUUACACCAGAAUCUCGGAGGUUGUCUUUGUGUGUUGUUCUAUAACAGCUCUUUAAGUAACAGAAGUAUAAAAGAAAGCAUCACAGGGGUUUCUACUGAUACUGUCACUCACAGAUGGACAGCACUGUAAUUCAUAACAUACUGGAGUAACAUCUUCCUUCCGCUUCUAGUAUUGCACCUUGUUUCAAACAGUCAACAUGAAAUUAAAGUAAUUCUUUAUAGGUAAGUCUUAAAUGUUUCAUGAUCAGAUUCUUUUAUUUUUAAAAUACUCAAAUAAACAGAUUUCUCCUUUAAAUUAUAAAAGGCACUCUUAUUGUCCCCUCCAUUUAAAAAAUGCUCAAAACGGAGCCUUUUUUGUUCGAGAAUUUAUGUAAAUUUGUCACUAACUUUUAUAGGCUUCCAUCUAAACCUUCUUGUUAAGUAUGCCCAUAUUUUAUCAAUUACAGAGAUACUGCAGAAUAUUUUAUGAGAGACACUAUGGUAUUGUAAAACUGUUCUGGACUUUGAAUCAGAAAACCAGGUUUCUAGUUCGUGUUUGCCAGUGUACUGGCUGUGCACACUGCAGCCAGCCACUUCAGUGAUUUGGAAUUUUAAUUUCCUAAUCUAUGAAGUGCAGUGGUUAAAUUACAUCAUUUCUAACCCUUAAUGCUCUAAUAUUCUAAUAAGUCUAUCCUUCCCCCACCCCCUAGGAAACUGCA